rnacentral:tRNA from 3 species
UAGGCAGAAGCCUGUUGGUUUAGGGCAUAUAGCUGUUAACUAUAGUGUCGUGGGAUCGAAGCCCAUCUGUCUAG